CCUACGGGUGGCAGCAGUGAGGAAUAUUGGUCAAUGGACGAGAGUCUGAACCAGCCAAGUAGCGUGAAGGAUGACUGCCCUAUGGGUUGUAAACUUCUUUUAUAUGGGAAUAAAAUGUUCCACGUGUGGGAUUUUGUAUGUACCAUAUGAAUAAGGAUCGGCUAACUCCGUGCCCGCAGCCGCGGUAAUACGGGGGAUCCGCGCGUUAUCCGGAUUUAUUGGGUUUAAAGGGAGCGUAGGUGGAUUGUUAAGUCAGUUGUGAAAGUUUGCGGCUCAACCGUAAAAGUGCAGUUGAAACUGGCAGUCUGGAGGACAGUAGAGGUGGGCGGAAUGCGUGGUGUAGCGGUGAAAUGCUUAGAUAUCACGAAGAACUCGGAUUGCGAAGGCAGUUCACUGGACUGCAACUGACACUGAGGCUCGAAAGUGUGGGUAUCAAACAGGAUUAGAUACCCCGGUAGUC
rnacentral:rRNA from 1 species